UGGGCACUCUAAGGAGACUGCCGGUGACAAACCGGAGGAAGGUGGGGAUGACGUCAAGUCAUCAUGGCCCUUACGGCCUGGGCUACACACGUGCUACAAUGGCCGGUACAAAGGGUUGCCAAGCCGCGAGGUGGAGCUAAUCCCAUAAAACCGAUCGUAGUCCGGAUCGCAGUCUGCAACUCGACUGCGUGAAGUCGGAAUCGCUAGUAAUCGUGAAUCAGAAUGUCACGGUGAAUACGUUCCCGGGCCUU
rnacentral:rRNA from 1 species